GCAGUCGAGCGGUAGCACAGAGAGCUUGCUCUCGGGUGACGAGCGGCGGACGGGUGAGUAAUGUCUGGGAAACUGCCUGAUGGAGGGGGAUAACUACUGGAAACGGUAGCUAAUACCGCAUAACGUCGCAAGACCAAAGUGGGGGACCUUCGGGCCUCAUGCCAUCAGAUGUGCCCAGAUGGGAUUAGCUAGUAGGUGGGGUAACGGCUCACCUAGGCGACGAUCCCUAGCUGGUCUGAGAGGAUGACCAGCCACACUGGAACUGAGACACGGUCCAGACUCCUACGGGAGGCAGCAGUGGGGAAUAUUGCACAAUGGGCGCAAGCCUGAUGCAGCCAUGCCGCGUGUGUGAAGAAGGCCUUCGGGUUGUAAAGCACUUUCAGCGGGGAGGAAGGCGAUAAGGUUAAUAACCUUGUCGAUUGACGUUACCCGCAGAAGAAGCACCGGCUAACUCCGUGCCAGCAGCCGCGGUAAUACGGAGGGUGCAAGCGUUAAUCGGAAUUACUGGGCGUAAAGCGCACGCAGGCGGUCUGUCAAGUCGGAUGUGAAAUCCCCGGGCUCAACCUGGGAACUGCAUUCGAAACUGGCAGGCUAGAGUCUUGUAGAGGGGGGUAGAAUUCCAGGUGUAGCGGUGAAAUGCGU
rnacentral:rRNA from 1 species